rnacentral:misc_RNA from 1 species
UCUCCGUUGGUGAACCAGCGGAGGGAUCAUUACCGAGUUUACAACUCCCAAACCCAAUGUGAACCAUACCAAACUGUUGCCUCGGCGGGGUCACGCCCCGGGUGCGUCGCAGCCCCGGAACCAGGCGCCCGCCGGAGGGACCAACCAAACUCUUUCUGUAGUCCCCUCGCGGACGUUAUUUUUACAGCUCAGAGCAAAAAUUCAAAAUGAAUCAAAACUUUCAACAACGGAUCUCUUGGUUCUG